GCCGGAGUAGCUCAGCGGUAGAGCAGUGGUUUUGUAAACCAUUGGUCGGGGGUUCGAUCCCUCUCUCCGGCU
rnacentral:tRNA from 1 species